UACGUAGGUGGCAAGCGUUGUCCGGAUUUACUGGGCGUAAAGGGCGUGCAGGCGGUCUGUUAAGUCUAGGGUGAAAGCUCCCGGCUCAACUGGGAGAGGUCCUUGGAUACUGGCGGACUUGAGGGAGACAGAGGAGAGUGGAAUUCCCGGUGUAGUGGUGAUAUGCGUAGAUAUCGGGAGGAACACCAGUGGCGAAGGCGGCUCUCUGGGUCUUACCUGACGCUGAGACGCGAAAGCGUGGGGAGCGAGCCGG
rnacentral:rRNA from 1 species